rnacentral:rRNA from 1 species
GAUGAACGCUGGCGGCGUGCCUAAUACAUGCAAGUCGAGCGAACGGACGAGAAGCUUGCUCCUCUGAUGUUAGCGGCGGACGGGCGAGUAAGAAGUGGAUAACCUACCUAUAAGACUGGGAUAACUUCGGGAAACCGGAGAUAAUACUGGAUAAUAUUUUGAACCGCAUGGUUCAAAAGUGAAAGACGGUUUUGCUGUCACUUAUAGCUGGAUCCGCGCUGCAUUAGCUAGUUGGUAAGGUAACGGCUUACCAAGGCAACGAUGCGUAGCCGACCUGAGAGGAUGAUCAGCCACACUGGAACUGAGACACGGUCCAGACUCCUACGGGAGGCAGCAGUAGGGAAUCUUCCGCAAUGGGCGAAAGCCUGAUGGAGCAACACCGCGUGAGUGAUGAAGGCCUUCGGAUCGUAAAACUCUGUUAUUAGGGAAGAACAUAUGUAUAAGUAUCUGUGCACGUCUUGACGGUACCUAAUCAGAAAGCCACGGCUAACUUCGUG